GGAAUAUUGGACAAUGGGGGCAACCCUGAUCCAGCCAUGCCGCGUGAGUGACGAAGGCCUUAGGGUUGUAAAGCUCUUUCACCGGUGACGAUAGUGACGGUAGCCGGAGAAGAAGCCCCGGCUAACUCCGUGCCAGCAGCCGCGGUAAGACGGAGGGGGCUAGCGUUGUUCGGAAUCACUGGGCGUAAAGCGCGCGUAGGCGGCUUAUCAAGUUGGGCGUGAAAGCCCGGGGCUCAACCCCGGAAAUGCGCCCAAAACUGGUUGGCUAGAGACCGAGAGAGGGUGGUGGAAUUCCCAGUGUAGAGGUGAAAUUCGUAGAUAUUGGGAAGAACACCAGUGGCGAAGGCGGCCACCUGGCUCGGAUCUGACGCUGAGGCGCGAAAGCGUGGGGAGCAAACAGGAUUAGAUACCCGAGUAGUCC
rnacentral:rRNA from 1 species